UGGAAGUAAAAAUCGUAACAAGGUUUCCGUAGGUGAACCUGCGGAAGGAUCAUUACCGAGUGCGGGCCCUCGCGGCCCAACCUCCCACCCUUGUCUCCUAUACACCUGUUGCUUUGGCGGGCCCACCGGGGCCACCUGGUCGCCGGGGGACGCACGUCCCCGGGCCCGCGCCCGCCGAAGCGCGCUGUGAACCCUGAUGAAGAUGGGCUGUCUGAGUACUAUGAAAAUUGUCAAAACUUUCAACAAUGGAUCUCUUGGUUCCGGCAUCGAUGAAGAACGCAGCGAAAUGCGAUAAGUAAUGUGAAUUGCAGAAUUCCGUGAAUCAUCGAAUCUUUGAACGCACAUUGCGCCCCCUGGCAUUCCGGGGGGCAUGCCUGUCCGAGCGUCAUUUCUGCCCUCAAGCACGGCUUGUGUGUUGGGUGUGGUCCCCCCGGGGACCUGCCCGAAAGGCAGCGGCGACGUCCGUCUGGUCCUCGAGCGUAUGGGGCUCUGUCACUCGCUCGGGAAGGACCUGCGGGGGUUGGUCACCACCACAUUUACCACGGUGACCUCGGAUCAGGUAGGAUUACCCAAUUCG
rnacentral:rRNA from 1 species